UACGGAAGGGGCUAGCGUUGUUCGGAAUCAUUGGGCGUAAAGGGCGCGUAGGUGGUCUUGUGUGUCUUCCGUGAAAGCCCACGGCUCAACCGUGGUAAGUCGGGAGAAACUGCAGGACUUGAGGCUGGGAGGGGCUGGUGGAAUUCCCUGUGUAGCGGUGAAAUGCGUAGAGAUGGGGGAGAACACUCGUGGCGAAGGCGGCCAGCUAGACCAGUUCUGACACUGAGGCGCGACAGCGUGGGGAGCAAACAGG
rnacentral:rRNA from 1 species